rnacentral:rRNA from 1 species
UACGAAGGGGGCUAGCGUUGCUCGGAAUCGCUGGGCGUAAAGCGCACGUAGGCGGACUCUUAAGUAAGGGGUGAAAUCCUGGAGCUCAACUCCAGAACUGCCUUUGAUACUGGGAGUCUCGAGUUCGGGAGAGGUGAGUGGAACUGCGAGUGUAGAGGUGAAAUUCGUAGAUAUUCGCAAGAACACCAGUGGCGAAGGCGGCUCACUGGCCCGAUACUGACGCUGAGGUGCGAAAGCGUGGGGAGCAAACAGG